rnacentral:tRNA from 1 species
GCGUGUGUAGCUCAGUUGGUAGAGAGGGCAGGUGUGAAAGCCUGUCAGGUCGGUGGUUCAAGUCCAUCCACACGCU